GACCCGCAAGGCAAGCUGCACGCGCUCGCAGCAACCACCCGCUCGCCUAACCUAACGAGCGCAGCGCCGCCGCCUCCUGCUCAUCUCCCUGUUGGCCUCUUGGCUCUUCCAGCUCCAAACGGCGACAACGGCGCGCGGCGUCCGUGACGGCGAGUCGGCGACCGCUCUGGCAAUCGCAGGACUGGGCGGCGUCCCGGCCGGCGGCGCACGGCGCGGCAUGCUAGGAUCCCCCAGCCGCUCGGCGUCCAGGGCUCCAGGCGGCCAGCGGCCAGCGCCUGGCGUCCUCCACAGCUCCGCUCAGUGACCAUCUAGCACGUGCAUCGGCAGGCUAGCAACCAGCAUCGAAGGCAGCAAGCCACAGGAAGAAAGAGUAUCCACCUAAGAUCCUAGGUGGCUUCACGUGAAGGCUCUAAAGAAACCUCCAAUUAGUAAUAGUAAGAUUUUGCAUAUUACUUUGAAAUAUCCAACCCAUUUGUCUAGGCUCAGGCUCAGGUUACUCACUAGUGGAAGAAUUUUGCUCGUUUCUCUCUCCGCCAACUGAACCAAAGCCAGCGACAUCGCUACCCAUUGGACCCGACAUUGAUAGAGUAUGCUGCCCACUUUUUCUCCAGGAGCUAGCUCUUGAAAAAGGAAUAGUACACUCUCUUCUCACAUUCUCUUUCUUCCAUGUAAGUAAAAUGAUGAGUUAGACUUUUAUGAGAUAGUACUCUUUCUCUCUCGUUACAUUCUCUUUCUUCCAUGUAAGCAAAAUGAUGAGUUGAACUUCUACGAGUUAGCUAAGGUGGUCUUAUUAGAGGAGGCCUGAUAUAGUACACGUAUAUAUUGCACAUUCAUGAUGAGGUUUAUAUCAGACAUGAGAUACUGGUGCAUAAUUAGCGAUGACUGAACCUAGAGGAGAAUAUGGGAUUGAUUUUAAAUGCAUCUUUCUUGUCAAGUCAUAAAUAUUGUUUUUUUUUCAAAUCUAGUAUCCACGGAAAUAGUAGUACAAAUAAAACACAAAUUCUUUUUAGUUUGUAAAAAGAUCCAUUUCAUAGAGUAGUCUAAAAUUUUUACAUACAAUGGUACAAUAUUAGAAAAAAGUGAACCUAAAUCUAGUCUUUAACUAUCAACAUAAGUUUGAAAAGUGUUUAUUAAAAUAUUACAAACCAUUGAAAAUGGGGCAAUCUAUUAAAUGGUGUUUGUAAUGGAUUAGCAGAGUGUGAAAUAUGAUAGCUUAGCUAGUAGGUGGUAGGUGACAUGCCCAUCAACAAGAAGAUGACUACGAUGACACGGACGAUGUCAAUAUUGAGAAUCUGCCGAUUUAGUUUCUUAGAGAUGCUCAUAGAGGUAGGAUCACGUGCAUGUGUUUAUAGGGGGGUGAUUGUGGAGCGUGUAUAUUAACGUCUCCGUCUGUACUGUAUUUCAUAAAAAAAAUCACAAAGAUUUAGAAAGGUAAAGGGAAGAAGAAGAAGAAGAAGAAGAAGAAGAAGAAGAAGAAGAAGAAGAAGAAGAAGAAGAAAAACAAACAUGGGCCGCAUUCUAGCAAAAAAGAUAGACCGAACUCCUUACGGAAGAUGGGCCGUGCUGGGCCAUGCAAUUUCGUGGCGGAGUAGGAAGAUGGUGUCUCUUCUGCACGCACCCGGCCUCGGCAAAUCCAACGCGAUGGGCACGCCGCCGCCGGCUCCCACCCCACCGCCACUUCCCCUAUUUUCUCAGCCGGAUCCUCCAACCGCCGUUCCCACCUCGGUGUAGCGGGUGUCUCGUGUAGCGGUGUUGCAGCAGGAGUCUAUUGGAGUGGAGAUCCCUCCGAUCGUGGAUUGAUUUUGUCCUUUGUUCUUCUCAGCGCACCAGGUGACAGUGCGGGUUUUUGUUCAAAAUUCCUGCCGCAUGGACAACGUCGAGUCCGCCCCUGACUCCCCGGUGCAAGCGCCGCCGUCCUCUGCCUCGUCUCUCCCUAAGGAGCAAUCGCAGGUGGAGUUGGAGCUGAGGCUUCUCCAGGCCCUUGAGUUCGACCCUCCGUCCAAACUCAAAGGCGUUCAUCGUCACUUUGUUCUCUAUGGCCUCAUGGAAUAUUUGAGAAAAAGCCUUGACCGUCAAUUCUCUGCUGAUGAGGUUUUGCAACUAUUGGGUCGUUUCUUUAACCUAGAAAUGCUGAAACCAGAGGAUGAUGAAAAGGACAACUUCAGUCAAGGGGAAGAAUUUUCCUUGCCAGAGAGCUUCCUCAACAAGGAAGAAUAAUAGCAAGUAGCUCAUAACAUGCUUCACAAUGUCAUCCAAGGUACUUUGAGUGUCCUCUGGAAGAGAAAUCAGGGAGCUGGUUCUUAGCGACUCCCACUUCCUAGUAGAUGUCGUCUAGGCCAUCCGUUGGUAGUAGGCAUCCGCACUGAAGUUGUGUUUUGUUCAGUUGUGUUCGUGUUUACUGACUUGUACAGCUUUUGUUGACUCUUGGAUAUCCAAUCAAUGGAGUUGUGCGGUAGCUUCGAUUAAGCAUUACCCUUGCCUUCUAACACAUGCAGAAAAGCAACGCCUUAAUAUUGCCCUCCAUAUUUCUAGUUA